rnacentral:misc_RNA from 1 species
ACGUACGCGCGUGCAGUCGCGCGCUUGGAGGACAUCGCCUGCGGCGGACGAGAGGCGAGGGUGAGCGACGGCCAUUCUAUCGUGCACAAUGGGAAACUCGUGUUGUCGUGACGAGUACCAGACGGCCGGGAAGUCCGCCGCAGUGGUGCAGGCAAGCCUUGCAUUUUUCGAUGCGCUGCCACCUGAUGCGCAGGAGGCGACGGUGGACCACGUCUACGACGGUGACACGCUCACCAUUCGCGAGCACAACCGCAUGCGGGUACGGCUGCUCGGCAUCGAUGCACCGGAGCUGAAGGAGCGCGAGCCCUACGCGAAGGAGGCGGCCGACUACGUGAAGAGGUUAUGCCCGGAAAAUUCGAAGGUGUGGUUGAAGACGCCGCACGGCGGCGAGAAGGACCGGUACAACCGCAUGCUCUCCCUCGUCUUCGUGUCGAGCCCGUCUGGCGGCCCCGGCUUUGUGUGCGUGAACAUCGCCAUCGUUGAGCAAGGCCUUGGCACCUUCUACUCCCCUGCCGGCUCCCAGGUCGACUUCCGGGGCCAGCUGCUCAAGGCACAGCAGAGCGCUAUGCAGCGUAAGGUGAACAUGUGGAAGAAGCAGAACCUUCGCAAGAAGGUGUUCUGCACGCCGAAGGGCAUCGCCUUCCACACGUCGGACUGCCUCACUAUCCAGCAGACAAGCCCGAGGAACUUGCAAACGCUGUCGGCCGCGCAGGCGCUGUCGAGGGGGUACAGCCCGUGUCGCGUGUGCAAACCGCAGCGGUAACGUACCGUAAAAGGUACGAGCUGUGCGCUGCUGCCCCGUGUGCGCGCGUGCGGACGCGAAUCGAGGGACUCUGAAGCAGAUGGAUGAUUUCCUUGCUGCCAGGUGAGUGUGUGUGUGUGUGUGUGGAUGGGGCGAGAUUGGGUGGUCGAUAUGGCGGAUGGAGGAGGGCCGUCCCCCUUGUCGCUGCCUACGCGCUUGUCCCGCUUCGUCUCUUAUCUGUGAAACCGCGUGCGCACUUGUUUCGUUGCUUCUUCACUCUGAUGGCGGAGGGGACACCUCCGUGAGUGGCAUCUCAGGGUCCAGUACCCCCUCCCCUAUCCUAUCCCUGCCACGUGCCGAGCCGCCUCUGGUGUUGACAGGGUCAAGCACCCGCGACCCAGCGAAGUCGGGGCGAUGUGUCGCCACGGAUGUCGGCGGUCAGGUUCCCCGCAUAGGCGUUGCGUCGGAGCGCCAUGCGGCAGUGAACGCGCGCCCGUGCCAUCCACAUGAUGGGCGGAGCGUCCGCGUGCCUCGAACCUGUCCCACCCACGCCCCGGCCUUCACAGCGCCCACUGCUGGUGUGGCGGGGAGCCUGAGGGCCGCCCCUCCCCCCCCCCCGAGCGGGGAUGCGCCAAGGCGGCGGACCUGCGAGGCGGCGGUGCGGGCAGAGGUUGAGGCAGGGGCCGUGCGCCGAUGGCUGCGUCGGCGCAUUGCUGUGCCGCGUGUGUCUACGGCCGGGCGUCGAGUGGCGCGGCGUUGAGCUCGUCGUGUAUGGCUGAGAGAUGGGCCACACGUUGGAAGCAACACGACAAAAGCACAGCGGCGCGUUGUUGAGUGAGCCCCCCCUCCCCGAACUCGCCAUUGUGUGGCGCUCUCUCUCUCUGGGAAGUGUGUGCGGAAGAGGCACGCAGCGGUGAGAGUAAGCGCGGCGGAGGAGGUCUGCUUGCCCUGACUCACAGGCGCACGCACGGCUCUCCGCACCCAUCGACGUGCAGUAGUGCCGAAACACGGCAUGCAUCAUGGGGCCUGCGUGCCCGUGUGUGCCUGCCUUCUUUGCUUUCAUGUGGUGCCUCGGCUGCGAGUACUGCAGCGCGUCGGCGUAUCAUCGACACGACGCGCGUCUUCAGCCGUGCCGACCCGCUGUCUUUCAUGCGCGUUCCAUACUCAUCCUGG